rnacentral:misc_RNA from 1 species
GAUGAAGAACGUAGUGAAAUGCGAUAAGUAAUGUGAAUUGCAGAAUUCAGUGAAUCAUCGAAUCUUUGAACGCACCUUGCGCCCUUUGGCUAUUCUGAAGGGCAUGCCUGUUUGAGUAUCGUGAACACCUCAACUCUCAUGGUCUGCCAUGAUGAGCUUGGACUUUGGGGGUCUUGCUGGCCUACUGUCAGCUCCUCUCAAAUGAAUCAGCUUACCAGUGUUUGGUGGCACCACAGGUGUGAUAACUAUCUACGCUUGUGGUUUUCUGCCAGGUAACCUCCAGUGAUGGAGGUUCGCUGGAGCUUACAAAUGUCUCUCCUCAGCGAGGACAGCUUUUUGAACGUUUGAUCUCAAAUCAGGUAGGACUACCCGCUGAACUUAAGCAUAUCAAUAAGCGGAGGA